rnacentral:rRNA from 1 species
AACAUACCAAUUGUUGCCUCGGCGGAUCAGCCCGCUCCCGGUAAAACGGGACGGCCCGCCAGAGGACCCCUAAACUCUGUUUCUAUAUGUAACUUCUGAGUAAAACCAUAAAUAAAUCAAAACUUUCAACAACGGAUCUCUUGGUUCUGGCAUCGAUGAAGAACGCACCAAAAUGCGAUAAGUAAUGUGAAUUGCAGAAUUCAGUGAAUCAUCGAAUCUUUGAACGCACAUUGCGCCCGCCAGUAUUCUGGCGGGCAUGCCUGUUCGAGCGUCAUUUCAACCCUCAAGCCCCCGGGUUUGGUGUUGGGGAUCGGCGAGCCUCACGGCAAGCCGGCCCCGAAAUACAGUGGCGGUCUCGCUGCAGCUUCCAUUGCGUAGUAGUAAAACCCUCGCAACUGGUACGCGGCGCGGCCAAACCGUUAAACCCCCAACUUCUGAAUGUUGACCUCGGAUCAGGUAGGAAUACCCGCUGAACUUAACCAUAUCAAUAACCGGAGAAAAA